rnacentral:rRNA from 1 species
UUUUGAUAAAAAAGUUAUGUUCUUAAUAACUCAAAGAAUUUGGCGGUAAAUUUAAUUUAGAGGAACUUGUAUUUUAAUUGAUAAACCACGAUAGAUUUUACCUUAAAUUUUAUUUGUAUACCUCUAUAUGUUGGAUUGUUUUAUUAGGAUAUUAUCUUUUAUAAUUUAUUAAUAAAUUUUAGGUCAAGGUGUAGUUUAUUUUUAGGUUAAUAUGAGUUACUUUAAUUUUAUAUUUGAUUGGAUUGAUUUAAUUUAUUUAAAUAAAAAAAUUGGAUUUGAAAGUAAAGUAAAUUAAUUAAUUUGUUUGAAUUU